GCUGCAGUCAUUAAGGCAGGUGUUUCUAGAGAGCAUGAAAUCCUGGCUGAAAUAUGAGAUGUUUUUUCUUUCAUUCGCAAAAUGGAGCCCAGAAGAGUGAUGGAUCCGAUGCUUGUCUCUCGUGUUAGGAUUUUCUAUAUAAUGUCACUGCUUGCUCGAUCACCAGAGCUACAAUCAAUUAAGGUUUCUCCGGUUGAGCGCUUUCUUGAGAAGCCAAAUAAUGGACGUAGUAGAAGCUCUAGCCGUGGUAGCAGCCUUGGAAGAUCUCCAGUUCAUUACGAUUCUAGUUCAAGGAAUAUGCUGGUUGGGGACCAAAUUUAAGGUUCAAAGUAAAUAUAAAACCAGAAAAGAAGUCAAAGUUGUCAUCAGUAGUUCUGAAGAUACGUGGAAUUGAUCAGGAGACCUGGCGACAGCAUAUUGCAGGUGGAAAGCUCAAGGAAAUAACCGAAGAAGCAAAAAUUUAUUCAAUUGGAAAAAAGGCUCUUGCGGCCCUUUUUGUUCAUACCCCUGCUGGCGCGCUCCAGCGUCAAAUUCGAAAUUGGCUUGUAGAGAACUUCGAUUUCCUUUCCAUUGCUGAUGACAUGGCUGCAGGAGCAGCUGGUCAGCUGGAAAUUCU